rnacentral:rRNA from 1 species
UACGAGGGGUGCUAGCGUUGUUCGGAAUCACUGGGCGUAAAGCGUGCGCAGGCGGACUGGAAAGUCAGGGGUGAAAGCCCAGAGCUCAACUCUGGAAUUGCCUUUGAAACUACCAUGUCUGGAGGCCGGGAGAGGAUAGUGGAAUUCCUAGUGUAGAGGUGAAAUUCGUAGAUAUUAGGAGGAACACCAGUGGCGAAGGCGACUGUCUGGACCGGUUCUGACGCUCAUGCACGAAAGCGUGGGGAGCAAACAGG